GAUGAACGCUGGCGGCGUGCCUAAUACAUGCAAGUCGAGCGAACGGACGAGAAGCUUGCUUCUCUGAUGUUAGCGGCGGACGGGUGAGUAACACGUGGAUAACCUACCUAUAAGACUGGGAUAACUUCGGGAAACCGGAGCUAAUACCGGAUAAUAUUUUGAACCGCAUGGUUCAAAAGUGAAAGACGGUCUUGCUGUCACUUAUAGAUGGAUCCGCGCUGCAUUAGCUAGUUGGUAAGGUAACGGCUUACCAAGGCAACGAUGCAUAGCCGACCUGAGAGGGUGAGCGGCCACACUGGAACUGAGACACGGUCCAGACUCCUACGGGAGGCAGCAGUAGGGAAUCUUCCGCAAUGGGCGAAAGCCUGACGGAGCAACGCCGCGUGAGUGAUGAAGGUCUUCGGAUCGUAAAACUCUGUUAUUAGGGAAGAACAUAUGUGUAAGUAACUGUGUACAUCUUGACGGUACCUAAUCAGAAAGCCACGGCUAACUACGUG
rnacentral:rRNA from 1 species